rnacentral:rRNA from 1 species
UACGGGGGGGGCAAGCGUUGUUCGGAAUUACUGGGCGUAAAGGGCUCGUAGGCGGCCAACUAAGUCCGACGUGAAAUCCCCCGGCUUAACCUGGGAACUGCGUCGGAUACUGGUUGGCUUGAAUCCGGGAGAGGGAUGCGGAAUUCCAGGUGUAGCGGUGAAAUGCGUAGAUAUCUGGAGGAACACCGGUGGCGAAGGCGGCAUCCUGGACCGGCAUUGACGCUGAUGAGCGAAAGCCAGGGGAGCAAACGGG